UGCCCAGGCUCGCUUGUGCCCAGAGAUAAAGUCAUGUCAACACUGUGUAUGAUUCCUUGAGUGUUUUUCCAGCUAUCUGCCACCCCACUGACUCUCCUCCGACCUCAGUUAGAACCUAACAAUUGGCAUCACAAACAGGAUCUUGAGAAAUUAUGAUGCUGUUGUAAAUAUCACCACAAUCAUCAUCAUCACCACCAUCAUCAUUCAUCACAUACUGACUGAUAUGCAGAUCCAAGGAUAGAAACUAAUGUGCUACGACAAUGAGGGUUUCUGAUGUUCUGUGACGCAAUUGGGCCAGUUUCAAUAUUUAUUCUUCCCAUCUUCAAUGAAGAUCUUGCCUUUAAUUGCAUCAAUGACUGCAGCUUUUGUUCCAGGAAGGAAGAUCAUGAAACCAACAACAUUUAUAUCCAGACUGAUGCCAGAGGAGGUAAAAUUUUCCUGAAGGGGGAAUAGAAGUUGUCUGCUUCCCUGACAGAAGGG
rnacentral:lncRNA from 1 species